UUUACUAGCUCUUUAUUAGCUUUUUCUAAACGCUGCAUAUACAAUAUUAAGUCUUACACCUUUGAAAUACAUUUUUAAAAAAGCUAUGCCAAGACAACCCUUGUUGUAUCUAUGUAUCAGUACAAAAAUGCCUCAUAACAUUCUUCCAAAAUAUGUUUGGCUUACUGUCCAUCUGCCUUAAAUACACUGAGGUUAAGAAAGAAUGAUCAUGAUCAAGAUAGAUAAACCAGGCCUAAACAUCAGCAUAUUUCAUAAUGAAAUCUAUAAGUUUAUGGAACUUCAAUAGGCUCUAAAGUAAAGGGACCAAACAAGAGGUUAACUGAGAAAAAGCUACACAGCUUCUAACUGCAAAGCACCUGAAAUCCCAAACAUUCAUAGCUUGAAUAACUUGAUUCUAGAAUUUGGAUGAACACUUGAGAGAUAAGGCCUCUUAUUAGAGAUAAUGUCUGUUCCUAGAUCAAUAGAUUCCAUGGAGAAGAGAGUUGAAUUUUGGGGAUCACAAGUCCUCCUUCUAUGAUCAAACAUUUUCUCCAAGGAAUGUAUUUCAGUGAGAAAAGGUUUGCAUUCAGAAUUGUGCUCAUUAUUAGCCUGCAUAAGUCUUUCAGAUCUUUGAUGUUUUUAAGAAGGCCUUUCCUUUCAUUUUAUUAAAAAAUAAACCAUAACAUACAAAAACAGAACCAUUGUAAUAGGCAGCAGAUAAAACCGAUUACUUUGGCCAGUACAUAACUCCUACACACAGAGCAGCAGAUGAAAUCUUGAUCUCCCAAAUGCAAUAAACCUUAUUAACACCUGGGAAACAGGAAGUUACCUUCCUUGUUACCAACCUGCAGCUGUGAUACGAAAUUACAAAUAACCUCUUAAGCACAGAUCCAGUCACCUGGGUCAGUGUUUUACAACAUAGCAGCAGGCAGCUGAAGUAAAACUCUGCUGGGCUUAACACUGCAAACCCAAGCACCAUUAUUGCAAUGGUUUAAUUACGGUUUAAAUACAGUUCAGGACUAGGUCAAAAGUUCCCAAUAUCCCCAGGAGGGCAAAGCAGUGGCCUCAUGACAGAAGAAGCCCCUUCCCGCUUGAUGAUUCUAAAAUUGUUGUGUUACCAAUUGGAAAAUGUCUCAUUGGUACUUUAAAUACUGUAGAUAUCAACAAUUAAAUAUUAUAUCACUAUUUUGAUAAAUAUUAUUUUAUGAUCUAUACACAAACUGCAUGCAUACAUAUGAAGGAAAAUACUUGGUUGGAAGGAUUUGUACUUCCUCUGUAGUGCACUGAGGCAGGGACAGUGCUUCUUGCUGGUGAUGGAAAGUGAUCAUUGACAUCAGACAAAGCAUAAGACAAUUGGCAUGGAAGUUGGAGAGCCUCAGAAUCAUUUGACAAAAAUAAUAAACACUUUGCAUAUUUCACAGAUGCAGGUAUACCUAAGUGACAACUUAUUUUAGGAUAUACUUUAUACUUAAUUAUUUCUAUGAGUACACUGGGAUAUUUUGUCAUAAGCCCACUGAGCCCACUCUAUUUGUGAAGAAGCAGUAUUCUGAAAAGUGAACCCCACUGCUAAUGUUUUUAUUUGAAUAAAUUAUUACCCAACACAGCAACCAUCAACAUUUUACAGAACGAGAACACAGAUUUCUGUAAUUUUUUCGGCCCUAAUGCCAGUCACUAUUGGGAGCAUUUAGUUAUAAAUUGUCUUUCAAUAAAAGUAAAAGCUCCCAAAACAACAAAAUGAAAAGACACAGCAGCUUAAAUCAAGGAAGUCAAUUUCCACAUGCCGAUCCUAAAUAUUUCAUAGCCCUAUUUUAUUCUGACAUUUGUAGAUGACUAAAGUGUUACAAAGGAAAUAAAAUGCUGAUUAAAGAGUUCACUGUCAUAAAGGUUACUGAAUUGUAAAUGGCCCUUUCCAUCUUCCUGUUAAUAGGUACCCAGCUGUAAACAUCAUGAAGGAUGUGACGGGAGGCCUGUGCUGCUCCUUUAGGAGUCGUAUAUACAUUAAUCACUGAAUCACCAAGCCAUGCUUAAUUGCAAGUUGUAUAUCACACAAAUCCAUGGUAAGUAGAAGGAAACUCAUUAUUGCUGCUUCAUAACUACUGGGUACUUCUCAUUUUAACCUUCUCACACCUGGGACACUGUUGUUUUACAAUGUGAAUGCAGAAAAGGCAUUAAGUCACUAAUUAUAGUAACACUGUAUGUUGCCCUGCUGCUUGAACAUUUUUCAAAAUAAAACAAAGUACUAUCAACAACAGAGAAAAAUGGCAUAUUUUUAAACUAGUUAAAUGAAUUCUACAGGUUUUUUCAUAAAUUAUAACACAUGGAAAUCCAUUAUUCCUUGAUAGCUUGAGGAACUGGUUAAAUGACAAAGAAAAAAACCCAACACUGUAUUUUGUUUUGACAAAAUUAUUGAUUUAAAUCCCAUCCAAUAGGACAAUACUAUUUAAAGGUCACCUAAAGAAAAAUGGGUUUACACUCCAACAGAGCAAGCUUAUCUGCCAUGAAAGUGUAAUGAUGUUUAUACUCUCACUAGUGUAUAUAUAUUUUUCAGAAAGAUAAGAGAUUUUGUGCAGCAGAAGUCUGACAAAAAAAAAAAGAAAAGGGAAAAAAAUUGAGAUAUUUGUGUAGUUGCUAAACCACCAGAAUUCAUUUCAAUAAUCAUUUCAAUAGGUUCCCUCCUCCAUGUGUUUUUACAAACUACUGAGCACCAUAGCAGUGGUAAUUCUUUUAUGCCAUUCAUCACAUGUUUUAUCAGAACUCUUUGAGGACUUGCAAGGUUUACUGCACAGCUUAUGUAUCUAGACACUAACAAGUGUCUUAAUAGAUAUAAAAAAUGCUUCAAUUUGAACACCCUGUGUUUUAAUGCAAACUGGUUUGAAAUUUUGUUUCACAGUGAAACACCAUAUGCCCUGGCAUACUGCUCAGCUAAAAGUAUGUUUAUUAAUGAAAAUCAUUCAAAAUUACUCCAUUGCAAAGAUAAAUUCUAUGAAACAGCUAUCUGUUCCUAAUGCCAUACUACUUUCUUAUGUUCCAUUUUCAAUUCCAAGAGUAAAUGGAAUCAGUGUUUUCUCACACCCAGGAUAUGUUAACACAUUCUUCAAAUCAGCUCUGCUCUAGGAUAUCCAUUAUCUGCAGCCCCAGCCCUCUUGCCACUGCUCUCCUCUCUGCAAGAGGCCUAACAGACUCUUCCAUUAUAUCCUCACUCUGCUCAUAUGAUCCCUUUUCAAAUUUAUUUGAAGGACCUGAAAACUAAUUACACCUUUUCCUUCUUCUUAAAAAAGAAUAUGCUCAAAGAACUGUGGUUAUGGCUUUUGAAUCCCUCUGCUCAUCCACACCAGCUGGUGUUGAUGGGCUUCAUGUUCCUCAUGGAUUUAUCUGUCAAGAAUACACUGCAAAGUCACAUGCACAAGAGCCACCCACCUUUAAACUACCUGAGCAUUUUGCUUCAUCAACGCCCCCCCAAAAAAGCAACCUUUCAAAGUAGAAAUUUUUUAUCUUAUUUAGCAAUUCCAUAUUCACAGAUUGAGUAUUCUCAGCUUUCCUGCUGUCUUCAGUUGUUGACGUGAAAAAAAAAAAACAACAGGAAAUCGCACCACAACAUUGGAAAGAGACACAAUAUUUUUGAUGAAAAAUGCAGCAAAAUGUUUUAACAUGUGCCAAUAGAAACUGUAUCUUGGGAAGUAACAUUUAUUCUUAGAUUAUGGAUGCCUAUGUUAGGAUGGUCCUUUAAAACAAACUUAACUACAAGCAUUUUGAAAAAAUAAUCAAAGAAAAAAAAAAAGCUUUUCUGCAUUCUUUCAGAUGGUCAGAAUCCCAGCUGUCUUUACUUUUGGAAAUUGUACACUCAACAAUGCUCAGUCCUUGAUCAUGACAAGCAGAGCCUCACAUGUUCCUAUGUCCAGUAUAUACAUCCUUUAGCAAGGGGAAACAUUUCAUCUGGUAAAACGACAAAAGAUGCUCUGGAGAAAGAAAAGCCUCAACACACAGAUUGAGUUCUCAAAACACUCUUUCGGCAAUGCUCAAUACAGGGCAUACAACUAAUGGUUAGAACACAAAUACCUUCCACCACUUAAAUUUCCAUUUUUAAAGGCAAGGAUGUUUUCAUCAUUUGUCUUCACACAAUACAUGUGCUUACCAAAUUAGCAGAGAUAUCCAUGAACUAAAGAAGAUAUUUAUAAAUUCUAUUUAGGUCUCCAUGCUUUGGAACUUUGCAUAGAAGUUCAGAUAUAAAAGCAGACACCAUGACAAAAAGUGACUGAUACCUAACCCUAAGUCAGCACCUCUGAACUAUAUCCCUCCUCUGCCUUUUAUUUCAAUUCCCCAGUUUGUUCAGUAUAUAGGGGGAGUGGGAAAAAAAAGUGCAAUAAUAAUUUCCACUAACUAGUAGGUUGCCUGAAAGCUUAAUCCAUCAUUCACUUGAAAAAUUUCAGAUAAGAAGUGCUUCAUUAAAUCUGAAGAGCAAUUCCUCUAAGCAUGUUUCUUGCAUUUUGUCCCAUCUUUACCCACUCUAUAACCUUCAUGCAAAAUUACAUUAAUUUUAGGUAUACAAUCCUUUGUGCUGAGCCUACUAUUGAGAUAUUGUCAGUCAGGAUAAAAAAAAAAUAAAAAAACCCCCAAAUAUGGCUUGUGAUUUACAAGAAGCCUUAAACAACACUUGCUGAUUAAAAAAAAAAAAAAAGAAGAAAAAAGGCUGGUAUAAGAAGAGCUUUUGGUGUAGCUUUUUUGUUUAAUUGGUUUGUAGUUUUAUGGCAGGUUUCUAUUGUUUGGGUUAGAUUUUUGAGGAUUUCUUAAGGACUUUUUCAACAGGAAAUUAUUUCAAUGAAAAACAUUAUGUUCUGCACACUAUGUAGCUAAACACCUAUGCACCAGAUGACAUCCAAAGCGCAUCGUGCUGACUUCCUCAGAGCACACAAGGAUAUUUUUUGCUGUAUUUCAAAGGCCAGUCUUCCUUGUUUAACUAGAUGUUCAUGUGUGCAAAAAACCAAGCACACAAAAACCCGGAUUCGAAUUGCUGUUAUUCUGAGACAUAUAAAAGUCUUCCCCUCUUGAAUUUGUUGUCACAUUAUCUAGAAAAUUGUAAUAAGUUUUUUAAUUAAAAACAAAAAAAUUAAAUGUGAUACAAUAGAGCAUCUGCUCACAUUAUAGAAAUUAUAUAUUUAUAAAAUGAUUGUUUAUACAGUAGUGCAAUUGGAUAGAAAAUUAUUGAAAUUUUACACUCAACGGUACAUUUCAUUUGCUAUUUUACCCUGCAAGUGACUACAAACUUCAAUAAAACAUGAUGGAUAUUUGCGUUUCAGAACUCAGUAAAAUUUCUUUAAGGCUGUAACAAUUCUUAAAAAGAAAAUAACUGCGAAAAAUAAGACAUUAUUCAAUACUGACUCAACUAAAGCCUGUACCAAAUUAUAUUUAAAGAAUCCUGAAAGUUUAGGCUGAGAGUUUUUGAAAGCACCACCUAAAAAACAUUACAUUUUUCCACGUUUUUAUUUUCAGGAUUUUCCUCCUGUUACUUGAAGGGCAAAGGGGAUGGGAGUGGGGCAGCGGAGAAACUGUGACACCACAGAUGACAGUCCAAAGCAGACCUGCUGUUUCUUGGGGGUUGUCUUCUGCAGGAUAUUGCACAUUUUCUUCCUGCAGCUGCGCCAGGGUCUGCCCUGUUUGUUCACAACAAGCUUGGGUGUCACACAGAAUUAUCCUGAGGGUUGCACAGUUCUACACUUUUCUGUUGUAAAGACAUUAUAUAGUUUUACGAGAAAAUUGAAUUACUGAACAUGUUCAGAUAAACCCCAGAACAGAGGCUGCUGUUCUCAAGCACAAUGGCUUGAUCUAGAUAAAUCCCAAAAUAGUCCUUUGUUUGGGGUAAUAGAUCAGAAAAAAAGAUGACAGGAAAGUACAGAAACCAAGAGUGAAGUACAAUUUCCUAUAAGUACCAAUCAAGUAAAAGGCUUUGUUAAACUCAGUAUUGAAUAUGUCCUAUUCAAUGAUCUCAUGGUUCAUUAGGGGAAAGCAUCAACAGGUAGAUAAGCCACAGGAUCAGUGUAAAUUAGGCUGAUCCUGUGACUAAAAUAGCAGUAAAAUAGGUUUUAGCUAUACAGUUAGGAUUUCUGAAUACUGAAAUGAGCCACAACUCCACCGAGCAUUUGACCAAAUGGACACCGGACUAAUUUUAAUUUAGGGGAAAACCUCCUGGAAAGAUAAAAGCACAUUGCAUAAAACUAGUGCUGCUGUUAGACCAUCUAGUCAGAAUGCUUUAACUAAAAAUUAACAGGAGUAAGAAGAGAAAUAUCUGUAUGGUACAAACCCUUCCUCACUAGAACACUAGUACUGCAUUCUUGUAGAUGCUUACCAGGUAACAAGCAACAGAUAACUUAUAUUUAAUAGAUUUUCUACCAAGUUGUGGAAAAUAUCGUGGAGCCAAGGAUCAUUGUGAUUGUCAUGGCAACACUGGGUGAUACUGUCAUCUCAUUGCCAGCACAAGUUGCAUCAAUAAAUAGUGGUUACUGUCAGACAACCUAUACACUGACACUUGCUGUUCAUAGUACUUUUAUUUCCACAUGCAAAGAGCAAAAAAAGUUAUGGUCUAUAUUUGGUGGUAGUUUGAUAACACUGAGGGAAACAUAUGAAAUUCAAUUAGCAGUUAGACAAGUAUCUGUCAUAGAUAAUAACUUCUUAUGUCAAGGAAUCUACAUACUGAUCAAUGUGAAGCUAUGUGCAAUUGCUUAUACCAAUCAUAAAUCACUCUUUAUUGAUUGACAUUACAAAUCCUUGACAUAAUUAGAAGCUAUAGAAUGGGUCACAAGAUAAUGCUGUGUAUGUCCACAAGCCCUUUAUUUUCAGGUUUUUUUGUAAUCUAUUGCACUCAGAUUUUGCUGGAAAUGGAGGAACCCUUCUUUUUUUUUCUUUUUUUAAAUUUCUUAUUAUUAGAAAAUUAGGCAGGAACUGCCAUCUGAUAAAGCCCUGAUAAAUGCCAGAAGUUAAAAAGGGAAUUUCCCAUGUCUGGAUUUGAUUCCUGUGUGCAAAUGGAGACUUGCCUACAUCCUGCACAUAAUAUGAUUUAUACACCAAUUUAUUUUAUACAUUAGGCACACUGUAUGCAGUCUGACUGAUGCAUAAAAAUUUCAUUUAAAAAAAAUACUUACUUGCACACAACUACUUUUCAGUUAUUAUUACCUCUUCUGGUUACCAUCACAGAGUAGGUAGGACAAAUGACUUGAUGCAGUGCACACAUUUUGUCCACUAUACAAACAUUUUGAUUGGUACCUAUUUCACUUCACUUUCACCAGACUCUUGAAUAGCUUAACAGCUCUAUCUUUAAAGAGAUCAGAUCUCACAUUUUCUGUGAAUUCCUCUAUGGUGACAACCCCUUACCAUGUACCCACACAAAUUCACCUCACAAGACAUGGGGUUUAUUCUGUGGGGUACCUCAAAUAAAUGAGCCAGAUGCAGAAAGGGAGGACAAUUUUGCUAUAUUUUGGAUUAUCUUCAUACAUGUAUGUUUCCUAUGCUAUUAUCAAUCAAAUUGAAGGUAUGUUUUUGCACAGCUUUUAUUUAGGAAAAAUCAGCAAGAAAUGCAUCUUUCUAUAUUUUCCAUUUAUUAGAAGUCUCCUUUCAUCCAAGAAAUAUGAGACCUGAAAUAAAUUGUACCAUCCUGCUUUUUUUUUAUUCAAAUCCUUGCCAGUGCUAGGCAGUAUGCUAAUGAAAACAGGUUGAUAAAUGACUCCCUGAUAUUUUCCAGACAUUUUUCUCUCAGAAGUGCUCUAAACUGAUGUAGCUCAAAGAGAAUAAGGCGCAUUAAGUCAUUAUAUCAAUUUUUGUUACCCAGAUACUUCAGUCCCAGUUAAGAGCUGACAGCCAAUAUAAAACAAGGCAAGGGCAUCAUACGACUCCAUCGAUCAAACCUUGUCGUAGAUAGAUUGCCUAUUACACAAAUAGAACC
ensembl:lncRNA